CAGUUCGAGAACAGUCUCAAAUCAUUUUGUUGGGCAAGAAGGGAAGACGACUGGUUUUGUUCAGUAAUUCUCAUCACCAGACCUGACUGAAUACCGAAUCUCUCACAUUCUCGGCUGUUACUAACUCAACUCUGUGUAUCAACCCACUACUGUACUAUGGUGUUAGAUGCAGGUGAUCAGCCCGAGAAUGAUCCACAGGAAGAAGAGCUGCAGAGUGUCAGUAAGCAGAUAGUGGACAAGGUCGUUCGACAGGCUGUGCACCAGUACACACAAGAAAGAAAGCACAAAGGCAAGAAGGAAGCAAAGGCGAAGAAAGGUUCACUGCUGGAGGCAGCAGGCAGCUCACGAAGAGAAAAGAACUGAACUGAAAGAGCGUGAGAACGAUCAAUAGUUCGGUGACAACAGAAUUUGUGUCGUCACAGAUGAUUAGUCUGUUCACAUUAUCAGAAUGUGGUAAUAUUCAUCGGUUGUAUUCUUUCAGAUCCUGGAGGAUUUGCUAUUAGUACGCGUUCCCUUGUCAAAAUUGUUUGAGCCGUGAAUUGUUGAAUUAUUGGGAAGAACAAUGUGACGUAUGACUUGCUAAUUAUCACAUGAGUUGAGUUGCAGUCAAACCCCUGGCCACAGAGGUAAAAACCCUUCUUCAUCCCCCAACUUUGGCACAAAGUUCAGGCCCGAAGCAGGAGUGAACAAUUGACACUGAUCUCAAAGUGGUAAUCAAAUUACUUAGCUGUUACUUUACAUUUUUGCUGCUUAUCAUUUGU